UUGAAAAAGGCCGUCUUAAGAAAAGUGAGAUUGCUGCAGACUUUUCUUGUUUGGAUUGGUGGAAGAUGAAUAAAAUGCACUAUCCAAUAUUGGCAAGAAUGGCAGCAGAUAUCUUAGCUAUACCUGUUAGCACGGUGGCUUCAGAAGCAACGUUUAGUGCGGGGACACGAGUAAUUGAUUCUUAUCGUGCAUCAUUGCUGCCGGAAACAGUACAAGCUUUACUCUGUGGGGGUGAUUGGCUUCGACAUAUACACGGAGUUACCAAAAACAAGGUAAAAAGAGAAAUCGUAUCAAGAAAUUUAUCUUCCUGUAUCCAACCCAUGAAAGUUAUGUUAGAAUGAUUGUUCCUAAUCUUUUUUGACGGGGCGUUGUUGCUGGAAAGAGUGAAGAUUGAAAAGCAUGGCGAGUGUGAAGUU